UUCUUGCCAACAAAAAUGAAGUUAAGCUGUGUACCUCAGAUUGAUAUGAGCAUUUCUACAGCGGCGAUUUCAGCAACAAACUGAUCAACUUCGCUGUUUAUGGAUGAUCCCUGUCCCGCUUCGCGCUCAUUACUAUUGACAAGCAACAGCUGCUAUCCCUUGUUGGUGUCGUUGAAUCCGACGAUAGUUCUGAUGAAAGCCUUUGGCUCAUGUCCAACAUGUACAUAAAUGACAUUUCCAACAAUGCUUGGUUAUAUGCCUAAUCUGAAAACGCAGCAAGCAUAUAGGCGUCGUCGCCUAGCUCAAUAUCUCUGCCGUAAGUGCUAAAAAAAAUGAAAAUAAAUUCGUGAAAAUGAA